AUCUCAGCUGGUUUCAGAGCAUUCCGAUUUUCAAUCGGAAGUGGUCGGGGGUUCGAACCUUCC
rnacentral:tRNA from 1 species